GGGUGCUUGGCGCAAUGGUAGCGCGCGGUCCUCCUAACGUGAGAUCAAGACUGAGGUUGAGGGUUCGAGUCCCUUGGUGCUCG
rfam:Blumeria graminis f. sp. hordei DH14, WGS project CATH01000000 data, contig: 007332